rnacentral:rRNA from 1 species
CACGUAGGGCGCGAGCGUUGUCCGGAAUUAUUGGGCGUAAAGAGCUCGUAGGCGGCCUGUCGCGUCGGAUGUGAAAGCCCGGGGCUUAACCCCGGGUCUGCAUUCGAUACGGGCAGGCUAGAGUGUGGUAGGGGAGAUCGGAAUUCCUGGUGUAGCGGUGAAAUGCGCAGAUAUCAGGAGGAACACCGGUGGCGAAGGCGGAUCUCUGGGCCAUUACUGACGCUGAGGAGCGAAAGCGUGGGGAGCGAACAGG